AUUGAACGCUGGCGGAAUGCUUUACACAUGCAAGUCGAACGGUAGAGGGGGCAACCCCUCGAGAGUGGCGAACGGGUGAGUAAUAUAUCGGAACGUGCCCAGUCGUGGGGGAUAACGUAGCGAAAGUUACGCUAAUACCGCAUACGAUCUAAGGAUGAAAGCGGGGGAUCGCAAGACCUCGCGCGAUUGGAGCGGCCGAUUACAGAUAAGGUAGUUGGUGGGGCAAAGGCUCACCAAGCCAACGAUCUGUGGCUGGUCUGAGAGGACGACCAACCAUACUGAAACUGCGCCACAGGGCAGACUACUACGGGAGGCAGCAGUGGGGAAUGUUGGACAGUGGACACAAGUCUGAUCCAGCCAUUCCACGUGCAGGAUGAAGUCUCUCGGGUUGUAAACUGCUUUUGUGCGGUACGAAAAGGUCUCUCUUAAUACGGGAGGCUCAUGACGGUACCGUAAGAAUAAGCACCGGCUAACUACGUGCCAGCAGCCGCGGUAA
rnacentral:rRNA from 1 species